UAGGUGUGAGCGGUAUUCCACGCCGUUCGUGCCGCAGCUAACGCAUUAAGCACCCCGCCUGGGGAGUACGGCCGCAAGGCUAAAACUCAAAGGAAUUGACGGGGGCCCGCACAAGCGGCGGAGCAUGUGGCUUAAUUCGACGCAACGCGAAGAACCUUACCAAGGCUUGACAUGCAGGGAAAUCUCGUAGAGAUACGGGGUCCGCAAGGGCCCUGCACAGGUGGUGCAUGGUUGUCGUCAGCUCGUGUCGUGAGAUGUUGGGUUAAGUCCCGCAACGAGCGCAACCCUCGUUCUAUGUUGCCAGCGGGUCAUGCCGGGGACUCAUAGGAGACUGCCGGGGUCAACUCGGAGGAAGGUGGGGACGACGUCAAAUCAUCAUGCCCCUUAUGUCUUGGGCUGCACACAUGCUACAAUGGCCGGUACAAAGGGCUGCUAAACCGCGAGGUGGAGCGAAUCCCAAAAAGCCGGUCUCAGUUCGGAUUGGGGUCUGCAACUCGACCCCAUGAAGUCGGAGUCGCUAGUAAUCGCAGAUCAGCAACGCUGCGGUGAAUACGUUCCCGGGCCUUGUACACACCGCCCGUCACGUCACGAAAGUCGGUAACACCCGAAGCCGGUGGCCCAACUCGCAAGAGAGGGAGCCGUCGAAGGUGGGAUCGGCGAUUGGGACGAAGUCGUAACAAGGUAACC
rnacentral:rRNA from 1 species